GUACUGAUGAAGAGUCCCAAAAUAGGACGAAACAGCUGUCCAGAAC
rnacentral:hammerhead_ribozyme from 1 species